CAACUGAUAAAUUUACAGUCUGAGGUGGUGGUAAAUUUAUUUGAAUAGUUGAUAUGUUGUAGUAAUUUAUUAUUUAAUAAUAAUAAAAAAUACGGGUAUUAAUAUUUACGGUGAUUAUUCAUAAUAAACACCUGCUGCAAUUCCAAUGGCAUAAAAUUGUUUUUAAAAGACAAGUUGAUAAAUUGGUAAUUAAAAAAAAUAUAUUGUGAAAGUUAUUCAUGAAUUGAGUACCUUGAAACCAGCUUUACCAAUUCUAAACGCAACACUACCACGAUGUAUUCCUAAUGAUAAUAAACUACUCGGAUGUGAUUUGUUUGUUGAUGUCUGUGAUAAUGCUCGAGAAAAAGAGAAUGGUGGAAAAAUUACAGUUUCAAAUAUCAGCAAAGUCCCUCUACUUUAAAACUAAAAAUUUGAAGUGAACUCGGAGUUCCGGAGUAAAAAAAAAAUCAUUCUGCAUAUGGAGUAAAUAGGGAGUUAGUUUUUUCACUUGAGUGAUUUCGGAGUGAUCUGGAUUUUAUUUGAAUCUGCAUUUAGGAGUAAAUUUCAUUUCUAGGGGAUUAAAUAAAUAAGCAAUCAUCCGUUUCGAAUUCACCCCGGAUUUACUUCGCAGAUUUACUUAGUGUUUAAUUCAUUGUAAAGUUUCGUUCAACUAAAAAUAUAUGAGAAACUAUAAAAUAUUGUAUCUAUAAUUGUAAUUACUUUAUUACAAGAAGUAGUUUCAAAUAUUACAGUGCAAACUGUAAUAGGGGAGGGUGGGGCAGAGCGGCCCCCCUAAGCCAAUUAUUACUUUUGGUGUCUUUCAACCAUCAGAUCACUUUACAUUUGUCCUAUUUCGAACAAAUUUAUGGACAUUUUGCCGAAAUUCUGAAAAAAAAUUUUUUUUUUUUUGUGGGGCAAAGAGGCUUCCCUCCAAAAAAUGAUAAAAAAUAUUUUUUUUUUAAACUGUUUUCAUCAUUAAGAAUGUAUUUCUUUCUCUCGACAACUAUUCUUGGUUUUAUAUUACUCAAAAAAAAUUUUUUUAGGUGUAAUAAAUCGUUCACCCUCGAUUAGCUUAAUUACUAAUUGUUAUUUAAUAAAAAAAAACAAUUCUAUAUUUUUUAUUUGUCAUUACUUUGAACCCAAAAAACGUGUUUUUUAAUUUUUUAGAUUAUAAACAGUUUUACUUUAUUUCAAAAAUUUAUCAACUAAAAAAAAAUUUUUAAUUUUGAAUAUUUUUCGUGACCAAAUUUGCCUCAGACAUCGAGAAACGGCCGAAAAAUAUGAAAAAAUCAUUUUUUCAGAAGUUUUGGCUGGUCCAUUUCACCCCAGGUGUUAUGUCUAGGGCUAGAAAUGUGGAAAUAUCAUAUUUUUUUUUUAAUUUGACGAUAAAUAUAUGAAAAAAUCACUUUUUCAAAAUUCUCGGCUUGUCCAUUUUGCUCCAGAUGUCAUGCGUAAAAAAAAUUUUUUUUUUAUCAAAAUUUCAGGGGGCCACUCUGCCCCACCCUCCCCUACUUUAAGUUUUUUAAACGAGGUCCGUGUUUUUACUUUAAAAACUGUAAUUUUUCCGAGUUUAAAUUUUUAAAUUACUUACGUAUUGACAUCUUGCGUAUUCAAUUUCCUUUUAAAAAAAAAGUUGAAAAUCUUAA